CAGCCGCCACGGUAAUACCGAGGGUGCAAGCGUUAAUCGGAAUUACUGGGCGUAAAGCGCGCGUAGGUGGUUUGUUAAGUUGGAUGUGAAAUCCCCGGGCUCAACCUGGGAACUGCAUCCAAAACUGGCAAGCUAGAGUAUGGUAGAGGGUGGUGGAAUUUCCUGUGUAGCGGUGAAAUGCGUAGAUAUAGGAAGGAACACCAGUGGCGAAGGCGACCACCUGGACUGAUACUGACACUGAGGUGCGAAAGCGUGGGGAGCAAACAGGAUUAGAUACCCCUGUAGUCCCUGUCUCUUAUAA
rnacentral:rRNA from 1 species